GCAUUUAGCAAAUGACAAAGGGAGUUUGUGAUGUGCCACAAAAGUUAGAAUAAUCAUUUUCAUAAAUAUGUUGAUUAUACCAUAACAAUGUCGCGGUAAAUUAUAUAGGAAGAAGCAAAAUAGCAUUAAGGGUCUUGUUCCAUGGUUUGAGCUCCUUUUCACUAUUAUCUAUCAAGUUAAUGUCAAGCAAUUGAGGAACAGGUAUACUAGAGGAGGUGUAUGAUGUUCUUGGUGGGUGCAGGACCUGGUACCCGAAACCUUAGCAACAUUAGUUAUAAACACGGUGACUCUUAUAAUGAGAAGAUAUUGCAUAUUUGGAAAUGCAAAAGGCUUCCCAACUUAUACCUAUUUUUAUGGUCAUUUAUAGCACAUUAAAUAAAUACUAUCCUAUAUCUUUCGUGCACAACUCAUUGAAUGUACACAAACUGUAUAUUCAUGGUGGUACACGCAUUCUUGCAUGUAUGUACGUGGUGUACGAUGCAAGUAUGUGCUUGAGGGUGGGUAGGCGUGUGUGGGUGUGUUUGUCUCUAUAUGAAUAGAAGAUGGAUAGAUAUGUCUGAUUGCGCAUAAUGUACUUGUGGCCAUAUGUACAUUUUGGCCAUAUUUAUAGGGUAUAAUUACUAAAAUUACUAAAUCUAACAUCAACAUAUAGUAAAUUCUAAAUAUUUUCUCUUGUGCAUCUAUAUUUGUGUACAUAUUUGAUCCUAAUAUAGUUAUUUUCAGAGGUGCAACUGGUAUAUUAUAUUAUCGCAGGAUACCUGUCAAGUUUAAAGAAAAAUUUUAUUGUACAUCCUCAUGACCAACCAUGUUUUAUAGUACAGAAUAUUGGGCAGCUAGAAAACAUUAUGUGCAUGAGACGGUUUAGCCAAAAUAAAAAUUUUGAGAUAGAUAUAUAGUAAUUUAAGAAAAGAUAGAAUAAGAAAU
rnacentral:lncRNA from 1 species